GGAGUUGUGGCUCAGCGGUCAAGUGCUCGCCCAGCAUGUGUGAGGCCCUGGGUUCAAUCCCCAGCACCA
rnacentral:tRNA from 1 species